rnacentral:rRNA from 1 species
GUCCUACGGGUGGCAGCAGUGGGGAAUUUUGGACAAUGGGCGCAAGCCUGAUCCAGCCAUUCCGCGUGGGUGAAGAAGGCCUUCGGGUUGUAAAGCUCUUUCGCAAGGGAAGAAAACUUACAUUCUAAUAAAGUGUGAGGCUGACGGUACCUUGAUAAGAAGCACCGGCUAACUACGUGCCAGCAGCCGCGGUAAUACGUAGGGUGCGAGCGUUAAUCGGAAUUACUGGGCGUAAAGCGUGCGCAGGCGGUUUGGCAAGUCAGAUGUGAAAUCCCCGAGCUCAACUUGGGAACUGCGUUUGAAACUGCCAGACUAGAAUAUGUCAGAGGGGGGUAGAAUUCCACGUGUAGCAGUGAAAUGCGUAGAGAUGUGGAGGAAUACCAAUGGCGAAGGCAGCCCCCUGGGAUAAUAUUGACGCUCAUGCACGAAAGCGUGGGGAGCAAACAGGAUUAGAUACCCGGGUAGUC